GCAGCUGUCUUUAAUCAAACCGAGAUAGCUUUUAGCCUCAUGGACAACAGAGCAAGUUUUCUUUGUAAGAACUUACAAGGUGAAACACUGUGAGAUUGUGCUCCUGCAACAUUGCAAUACAGGAGAAAGAAGAUUGAAGAAAGUAUGCAAUUGGACCCCUGACAUGCAACAUGUGAGCGCAUUUUGUUUCUAUAUUAAGCUGUGGAAAGCUGCUCUUUCAUAUGCAGGCAAAUGAGAAAACUCAACUACAAGAAUUGUCCAUGCAAGGUGUUUACAGCCCCCUCCUCGAGGGAUUUAAAAAGAAAAAGAAAAAAGAAGAUACUCCCUCCUUUCUUCCAGUACGACUCAAAGAUGUUAUAUUCUUCAGCAGUGUUGGGGAGUGGGGUGGAGGUGCUGUACAUAUAACACAGAUCAUCUGCAAUUUGUUCAGCUGAGAAAGACGGGUUUGGUAUUGUCAGAUCAAUGAAUUGUUUCAAUUUUGCAAACUCUGUAGUGAUGCAUCCAACUCUGGAAUAUCUUUAUCAGUUUCUUUCUGGUACUCAGAUCCCAGGCACGGUGAUUGCAUACUACCAUACCGGAAGAAACGUUCUUGCGUGCUUGUAAGCAAAAUUUGUUCGUCAUUACAAUUGCAUUAUGAUAUUAGAAACAAUUUCUCAUUCAUUUAUGAGCAAGAUUCUCCAUUUCUAUUGCUUAGUCCGAUAGUAGAAAUACGAUUCCUAUGCACUAGUAAGUAAGGUGGUUAUCUCCUUUCGUCUUGAAAUUUUGUCAGAAUCUGAAAUAUGAGAUUAAAAAAAUAUACGUCGAGUAUAGGUGUAAAAUAGCAGCAGUGCCCCCAAUGGUUUAGUUUAAAAGCCCAGCUGUCCCGGGGACAUAAUCCAGUGAUGCAAAGGAUAGGAGUGAGGUAGUCUCAACUUUGCUGGCAGCCGCAGUA